rnacentral:rRNA from 1 species
GACGAACGCUGGCGGCGUGCUUAACACAUGCAAGUCGAACGGAAAGGCCCUGCUUUUGUGGUGUGCUCGAGUGGCGCACGUGUGUGUCACACGUGAGUUACCUGCUCUUGUCUUUGGUAUACCUUCAGGAAACUGUGUCUAAUACCGGAUAGGCGCUCCUGCUUCUUGUUGUUGGUUGGAUUGUUUCGUCGGUUGGGGAUUGACUCGCGGCUUAUUAGCUUGUUGGUGGGGUAGUGACUUACCAAGGCUUUGACGGUUAGCCGGCCUGGGUGGGGGACCGGCAACAUGGGGACUGGGAUAGGGCCCAGACUCCUAGGGGAGGAAGCAGUGGGGAAAAUGGAAAAAGGGGGGAAAGCCGGAGGCAGGAAGGCGGCGUGCGGGAUGACGGCCUUCGGGUGGUAAACCGCUUUGGCAUGUGACGAAGCGUGAGUGACGGUAAUGGGUAAAGAAGCACCGGCUAACUACGUG